AAGUCGUAACAAGGUUUCCGUAGGUGAACCUGCGGAAGGAUCAUUAUCGAGUUAGGGUUCCUUUACGGGCCCGACCUCCAACCCGGUGUCUAAACUUACCACUGUUGCUUCGGCGGGCCCGCCUGUAAAAGGGCCGCCGGGGUGCCCGUCACCUCUGGCCCGCGCCCGUCGAUAGCCCACAACAAACUCUUUUAAGCCGUGUCCUGUCUGAAUAAACCAAAAAUUAAGCACAAAA
rnacentral:misc_RNA from 1 species